rnacentral:rRNA from 1 species
CGGUCCUUCGGCAGUCGUCAGAGAGUUUCGUAUCCUGGCUCAGGACUAACGCUGGCGGCGUGCUUAACACAUGCAAGUCGAACGAUGAAGGCCGUGCUUGCACGGUUGGAUUAGUGGCGAACGGGUGAGUAACACGUGAGUAACCUGCCCUCCACUUCGGGAUAACCUCGGGAAAUCGGGGCUAAUACCGGAUAUGAGCACCUACUGCAUGGUGGGUGUUGGAAAGUUUUUCGGUGGGGGAUGGACUCGCGGCCUAUCAGCUUGUUGGUGAGGUAGUGGCUCACCAAGGCGUUGACGGGUAGCCGGCCUGAGAGGGCGACCGGCCACACUGGGACUGAGACACGGCCCAGACUCCUACGGGAGGCAGCAGUGGGGAAUAUUGCACAAUGGGCGAAAGCCUGAUGCAGCGACGCCGCGUGAGGGAUGACGGCCUUCGGGUUGUAAACCUCUUUCAGCAGGGAAGAAGCGAGAGUGACGGUACCUGCAGAAGAAGCGCCGGCUAACUACGUG